ensembl:lncRNA
GCUACUCCUUCUGGUGCUCUGUAAUUAUAGGCCCCUUUCAUAAGCCUCUUCAGAAACACUGUGGCUUUCUUUCUCUUACUGACCGGGAUUUGCACUCAGAGUGAAGGGUCAAAGGUUGAUCUGAUAGGGAUGUACACGAUGAGCUCUGUCCUACUGGCAACUCGGGUAAGAACAAAUUCUUAUUUAUAAUGAAGGCCUACCAAACACCUCCACGACAAGAGGGACACCACAACACUUCAUAAAGAGAGAACUAAGACAACAACCGCAUGGCAGCAACACAUGACAACAAGGCAUGGUAGCAACACCACAUGACAACAACAUGGUAGCAACAAAACAUGGCAGCAGCACAACGUCACGCCUGCUCCCGCUUCCCCCCUCUGGGGCUCGAGGGUGCCAGACUGCCCUUCAUUACACACACCUGUCACCAUCAUUACACUCAUCAGCGAUCAUUGGACUCACCUGGACUCCUUAACUUUGUUGAUUGCCCAUUUAUAUCUGUUUGUUCCCUGUGUCAACAUUGACGUUGUUACAUUUUGCCCUGUCCAGAUGCUGUCCUUAUUUGUUUCUUGUCUAUUAUCCAUUAAAUGUUCACUCCCUGUACUUGCUUCUCAUCUCCCAGUGUCAGUCCUUACAGAAUGCUGACACCACUAUUUGAAGCAUUGGGGAGUUCUUGUUUUUUGUUUUUGUUGGUGACGUCAGGUCCUGGUGCCACCGCCAAUGGAACCGGGGGUGUCUCAGCUGGCUUAUCUGACUUCCAUGCUGUAGCUGGCUCGAGAGGUUUCCUUGCCUCAGUUGGCUCGGCAGGCUCCCAUCCCACGUCAUGCCUCAGCCGGAUUGUCGGGCUCCCACGCCUCAGCCGGCUCCACGGGCUCCCACGCCUCAGCCGGCUCCACGGGCUCCCACGCCUCAGCCGGCUCCACGGGCUCCCACGCCUCAGCCGGCUCCACGGGCUCCCACGCCUCAGCCGGCUCCACGGGCUCCCACGCCUCAGCCGGCUCCACGGGCUCCCACGCCUCAGCCGGCUCGUCGGGCUUCUAUGCCUCAGCCGGCUAGUCCAAUGCCAUGCCUCAGCCGGCCCAUCAGGCUCGCCCAGGUGGGAUGCAGGGUGGUGCCCCUAGAGGGGGGGGUACUGUCACGCCUGCUCCCGCUUCCCCUCUCUGCCCUUCAUUACGCACGCCUGUCACCAUCAUUACAUGCAUCAGCGCUCAUUGGACUUACCUAGACUCUUUUACUUUGUUGAUUGCCCCUCUAUAUCGGUCUGCUCCUCAGUUUGUUCCCCAUGUCAGCAUUAAUGACGUUUAUUUUUCCCCUGUUCAGACACUGUCCUUGUUUGUUUCUUGUCUAUUAUCCAUUAAAUGUUCACUCCCUGUACUUGCUUCUCAUCUCCCAGUGUUGGUCCUUACACAACAUGGUAGCAGCACGAAACAUGGUACAAACAUCUUGUGACAGGUAUACAGAGAUGACCAGUUUACAAAGGAGUAUCGAGUGCAGUGACGUGUCCUAUAAGGAGCAUUGGUGGAAAAUCUGAUGGCCGAAUGGUAAAGAACAUCCAGCCGCUAUAGAGCACCUUACCUGCCAAUCUUUAAAUCACAUCGCAUGGGUAGGAUGGUCAUCUGAAUCAGUGUUAGUUUGGCAGCUGGGGUGAAUGUGGAGCGAUUACAAUAGAGGAAACCAAGUCUAGAUUUAACCUUAGCGUGCAGCUCAGAUAUGUGCUGAGAGAUAUAGUAUAUCUAGUAGACAAACCAGUUUAAAAUCUAUAGGUUUACCAAACGGUUAAGUGAUUAACCAUUAAGUGCAGUUGGAUUAAGUUAUGGUCAAAUGUAUUUAAACAAAUGAGAAGAGAAUCGUAGGAAAAGUUUUGUGAGCAUUGUAUUGUGAAAGGCAAUUACUUUAUAUGAAAGAUAUUUCUAGAUGAAACACUGGUUAGGUUUGGUGAAAAGUUCCUUUGUGAUUAGGUGUG